rnacentral:rRNA from 1 species
CCUUCUGAUAACUAUAGAAGGUCCAGCCUGCCCAGUGAAUUAAUUUAACGGCCGCGGUAUCCUAACCGUGCGAAGGUAGCGUAAUCACUUGUUCUUUAAAUAAGGACUAGUAUGAAUGGCACCACGAAGGUUAUACUGUCUCCCUUUUUUGAUCGAUUAAACUAAUCUUCACGUGAAGAAGCGUGAAUAAAUAUAUAAGACGAGAAGACCCUAUGGAGCUUAAAAUUAUGCAACAAUUGCUAUUAACCUUAAAUUUUAUGAAUAAUUUUUUACUAAACACCAUGAUUGCUAAUUUUUGGUUGGGGUGACCGCGGAGUAAAAACUAACCUCCACAAUGAAAGAAACCAAUAUUCUAAACUAAGAGCUACAACUCAAAGUAUUAAUAUUUUAACAUUCUUUGAUCCAAUUUUUUGAUCAACGAACAAAGUUACCCUAGGGAUAACAGCGCAAUCUACUUUGAGAGCUCCUAUCGACAAGUAGGUUUACGACCUCGAUGUUGGAUCAGGGUAUCCUAGUGGUGCAGCCGCUACUAAUGGUUCGUUUGUUCAACGAUUAAAACCCU